GAAGGUAUAAUUCAAGUGGUAGAGCACAUGCUUAGCAUGCAUGAGGUCCUGGGUUCAAUUUCCAGUACCUCCU
rnacentral:tRNA from 1 species